rnacentral:misc_RNA from 1 species
GAUGAAGAACGUAGUGAAAUGCGAUAAGUAAUGUGAAUUGCAGAAUUCAGUGAAUCAUCGAAUCUUUGAACGCACCUUGCACUCCUGGUAUUCCGAGGAGUACGCCUGUUCGAGUGUUAUGAAGCUCUCAAAACGCAAUUGGCUUAAAACCUGAUUGUUGUUUUGGAUUUGAACUUUGCCGUGUUAUAACGGCUGGUUUUAAAAGUAUUAGCGGGUACUAGAACGAAUUGGUUCUACUCAACGUGAUAAUUAUCUGAUCGUUGAGGACAUUCCUUUCACGAGGAAUGGCCAUAGUAAAUUCAAUGGACUGCUUCUAAUCUGGCUUUAAUUCUUUAUUGGAUUAACCACUUCUCAAAUCUGACCUCGAAUCAGGUGGGACUACCCGCUGAACUUAAGCAUAUCAAUAAGCGGAGGA